rnacentral:lncRNA from 1 species
GAAACUUUUAACUUUCAGACUCAGAUCAACGAUAAUUUAUCUGAUGAAAACUUGGAGAGUAGCCUGGAAGAUGCCAAGAAAGUAAUUCAGAAAGACUCUCUAGUGCCUAGUACUGGUCAGAAUAGCUCCAAUCUACACCUCAGAGAGAAAUCCAAUUUCCAAGGAGAUAAGUCAUCUACAAUCAAGCCUGCUCAGUUGAUAAGAGGGCGAUUCCAGAGAGCCAAAUUUAAUGUUGGAAGGACCAAUUGCAAAAACGAAGUACCUGUAUCAGAAGAUAUUAGUGUUCCAAUUGUGGAAGAAGUAAAAGAGAUGGAGAUUAGCAAGAAAGAUGAUCUAUAUCUAAUUUCAGAGGAUGAAGUCAUUGUCCAGGCAUCCCCAGAU